rnacentral:lncRNA from 1 species
GAUUUGAUCACGUUUACCAAGAAACGAUCCUAACGGUCCUUGCUUUCCUAUAUAAACCCACUUAAUUCUUGCUCUCAUUUCACCCAUGAUCUGAAUUGUUCUAAGUUGGGGCCUUAGUGCUUCAUACCUGAACAUCCAAGGUCAUUUCCAUCCUUGCUUGGACCCUUUCCAUGGUUCGCAACGAACAUGGCUACGUGACCGUAAUUAGAUUUAGGAGCCCAGUAAAAGCUAUCUGUACUUGCUUGGUGGUAUACGGCUGGGAUUAA